CAAAUUAGAGCUUGAAUAGGAAGUUUUUUACUUACACUAAAAAGAUGAUCGUGCAAAUCGAUUUAAUUUGA
rnacentral:tRNA from 1 species